rnacentral:rRNA from 1 species
CCUGAAAGAUGAUCAGGUUGAUAGGUCAGAGGUGGAAGCACGGUGACGUGUGGAGCUGACUGAUACUAAUCGAUCGAGGACUUAACCAAAUAA